UCCAUUAUUAUAUUUGCCAUCUAAAAGAUUGUCAAUAGCAUCAAAUAUAUUUGCAACUGGGUUGCACCUAUCCUCGGCCCCAUAAACACCAUAUUUGUUACAUCGAUGAUAAUUUGCUCAAUAGCAUAUUUGAAUUUGUUAAAUUCCCUAUCAAGAAUGAAAUUUUAUUAUCAAAAUGGAUAAAGGCAAUGAAUAAGGAAAAUUUCACUCCUAAUAAGUUUUCAAAGCUUUGUGGAGCCCAUUUCAAACCUGAAUGUUUUAUGCCCUCACAUUCAGGUAAUGCUAUUCUAAAGGAAGGAUCUGUACCAUCCAUUUUUAAUUCCAGACCCCUUCAGGAUGUA